rnacentral:rRNA from 1 species
AACGAACGCUGGCGGCAUGCCUAACACAUGCAAGUCGAACGAGACCUUCGGGUCUAGUGGCGCACGGGUGCGUAACGCGUGGGAACCUGCCCUUAGGUUCGGAAUAACUCCCCGAAAGGGGUGCUAAUACCGGAUAAUGUCUUCGGACCAAAGAUUUAUCGCCUUUGGAUGGGCCCGCGUUGGAUUAGCUAGUUGGUAGGGUAAAAGCCUACCAAGGCGACGAUCCAUAGCUGGUCUGAGAGGAUGAUCAGCCACACUGGGACUGAGACACGGCCCAGACUCCUACGGGAGGCAGGAGUGGGGAAUAUUGGACAAUGGGCGAAAGCCUGAUCCAGCAAUGCCGCGUGAGUGAUGAAGGCCUUAGGGUUGUAAAGCGCUUUUACCCGGGAUGAUAAUGACAGUACCGGGAGAAUAAGCUCCGGCUAACUCCGUG